rnacentral:rRNA from 1 species
GUUCGGAUUGUAGUCUGCAACUCGACUACAUGAAGCUGGAAUCGCUAGUAAUCGCAGAUCAGAAUGCUGCGGUGAAUACGUUCCCGGGUCUUGUACACACCGCCCGUCACACCAUGGGAGUUGGAAAUGCCCGAAGCCGGUGACCAAACCAAUAAGGAAGGAGCCGUCGAAGGCAGGUCUGAUAACUGGGGUGAAGUCGUAACAAGGUAAC